rnacentral:rRNA from 1 species
UACGAGGGGGGCUAGCGUUGCUCGGAAUCACUGGGCGUAAAGCGCACGUAGGCGGCUUUCUAAGUCAGGGGUGAAAUCCUGGAGCUCAACUCCAGAACUGCCUUUGAUACUGGAGAGCUUGAGUCCGGAAGAGGUGAGUGGAACUCCGAGUGUAGAGGUGAAAUUCGUAGAUAUUCGGAAGAACACCAGUGGCGAAGGCGGCUCACUGGUCCGGUACUGACGCUGAGGUGCGAAAGCGUGGGGAGCAAACAGG